ACUCUUGACAUCCAGAGAAGCCAGCGGAGACGCAGGUGUGCCUUCGGGAGCUCUGAGACAGGUGCUGCAUGGCUGUCGUCAGCUCGUGUUGUGAAAUGUUGGGUUAAGUCCCGCAACGAGCGCAACCCUUAUCCUUGUUUGCCAGCGAGUAAUGUCGGGAACUCCAGGGAGACUGCCGGUGAUAAACCGGAGGAAGGUGGGGACGACGUCAAGUCAUCAUGGCCCUUACGAGUAGGGCUACACACGUGCUACAAUGGCGCAUACAGAGGGCAGCAAGCUAGCGAUAGUGAGCGAAUCCCAAAAAGUGCGUCGUAGUCCGGAUUGGAGUCUGCAACUCGACUCCAUGAAGUCGGAAUCGCUAGUAAUCGUGAAUCAGAAUGUCACGGUGAAUACGUUCCCGGGCCUUGUACACACCGCCCGUCACACCAUGGGAGUGGGCUGCAAAAGAAGUGGGUAGUUUAACCUUUCGGGGAGGACGCUCACCACUUUGUGGUUCAUGACUGGGGUGAAGUCGUAACAAGGUAGCCCUAGGGGAACCUGGGGCUGGAUCACCUCCUUA
rnacentral:rRNA from 1 species